UACGUAGGGGGCGAGCGUUGUCCGGAUUUAUUGGGCGUAAAGAGCUCGUAGGCGGCUCGAUAAGUCGGAUGUGAAAUCUCCACGCUCAACGUGGAGGGGCCAUUCGAUACUGUCGUGACUCGAGUCCGGUAGGGGAGUGUGGAAUUCCCGGUGUAGCGGUGAAAUGCGCAGAUAUCGGGAAGAACACCCGUGGCGAAGGCGGUUCUCUGGGACGGUACUGACGGCUGAGACGCGAAAGCGUGGGGGAGCGAACAGGG
rnacentral:rRNA from 1 species